GUUGGCCGACUUUGGUCUUUUGUGGUCGUGGAAAGCUACACGAGCAGCAUCACAGACAUGGAUUCUUGCAUUUUGGGAAGACUUCAUUACUCAGCUCUGUGCUUCACUGUGACUUGGUGAACUUUCUGACACUCUGCUGUGAACCUGAAGCAGAAAUGUUGGGAAAAGACAGAAAGAAGGAAAAAAGAAGGAGCUGAGGAGAAAAGCGUCUGGCAGACGGAGCAGAAACAUUCAGAGAGGAUGAGGGAAUAAAGAGCGAGGCAGAUCGGCCGAGCGCGUUAGAGAGAGGGAUGAUUGAAGAUAGGGCUGCUGGGUUUUGGUGGUAAUGGGAUCUUGGCCGGCGUUGGUGUGGUUAAUAACGCGGCUGUUUUUCUUCUUAAGAGCUCUACUUCAAGCUCUGGCUUCUGCUGCUGCUCCACUUAAACAAAGCGUGAAGCAGCGAGUGAGACUGGCUCGGCUUUGAUAACCGACCGUUCUGCAAAUGAUAGAUUAAUGUUUGAACAACCAUUACACAUGCACAAGACGUUUGAGCCUCCAUGCUUCGUAUUUGUUUUUCUUACCAACACCUGCCGUCCAGCACAACCACACAUUACUGUUCAUUUAGUUUCUAACAAAAUAUUAAAUGUGUGUGUGUGUGUGUGUGUGUGUGUGUGUGUGUGUGUGUGUGUGUGUGUGUGUGUGUGUGUGUGUGUGUGUGUGUGUGUGUG